rnacentral:rRNA from 1 species
AUGAGCAUCAAGAGUGUCAUUGACCUUGUGAAAGCCAUCUUUCAUUACAAGGUGAAGUACGGCAAGGCAUGGAAGGCGAAGCAAGCCGCAUUCAAGAUGUUGUAUGGCAAUCGGGAGGAAGCAUACAACCGACUCCCUAGGUUGUUGUUAGCUAUGGCCGCCACAAACCCAGGCAUGGUUCACGUGGUUGAGCCUCAUGGGCACCAAACAUUGAUUCAUAACGGGAGGACCGUCCGAGUAUUUGGCCGUGCAUUUUGGGCCUUUGAGCAAUGCAUGAGGGCUUUUGAGCAUUGUCGGCCCGUCAUCGCCAUUGAUGGCACGUUCUUGACCGGACAAUACAAGGGCACUUUAUUGGUUGCAAUAGCAAGUGAUGCCAAUAACCGGGUGUUGCCUUUGGCUUUCGCUUUGGUUGAGGUGGAGAACAAUGAUAACUGGGAGUGGUUCUUGCGUCAACUGAGAACAAGGGUAUUACCUGCUGAAAGGGAAAUUUGUGUCAUAUCGGAUCGCCAUCCUGGAAUUCUAAAUGCGGUGGUGGUUGACAUUCCCGGAUAUACAAAGUUGCAUCAUCGAUGGUGCAUGAGGCACUUUUGUGCAAACUUCUAUAGGGCAUGUGGUAUCAAGGAGUUGGCCGAUGAUCUUCAGGAUUGUUGUCUCGCUUUCACCAACAAGUGGUUUUCCACAUUGUUCAAUGCAUUGCUCAGACACAAGAAACUUGACCCCGGCGGUCAGGAGUUUCUGAAUAAGAACAUUGCCAAAAGGAAUAUGUGGGCACGUGCUUUUGAUGAAGAUGGCCGGAGGUACGGUCAAAUGACAAGCAAUAUGGCAGAAUGCUUCAAUAAGGUGCUCAAGGGUGUACAUGCAUUACCCGUGAUGGCAAUAGUUCAAUACACAUUUGACAAGUUGAAUGAAUACUUUUUAAAGCACUCAAUGAAGACUGAUAAGCAGAUUGCUGGUGAGAACAAGGAUAAGCACAAGUACAAUUUCCCACCAAAGGUCGAAGAAUGGUUGGAAUUUCAAUCACAAAAGGCAGACUCCGAAGAAGCUGUACUAUAUGACGACAACGAGUGGAAGUAUGAGGUGAAAGAGCCCGGAGGAACCACAAACGAUGGCCGCCAACACGGAGGCCGGGCUUUCAAGGUCUCCCUAACACGGUGUGAUUGCAGCUGCAUGAGGCCGUCUUUGCUUCAUCUCCCAUGCUCGCACUUGUUAAAUGCAUCCCGGGUUAGGAAUGUGGACGUCAAUCACCCUCUUACCGUGAGGGAGUCCGAGUUCUCAAUCAUGACGGUAAAGAAUACAUGGACUCCACUGUUCCAGCCAUACUUGGACCAAUCACAAUGGCCGGAGUAUCAUGGAGUUCAACUAUGGCCGGACCUGGAAUUGAAGAUCGUUAGACGGGGAAGACGUAAGACAAAGCGUCUUAGAGGUGACAUGGACGGAUGGGGCCGUGGUGGUGGUGGAGAAUACGGCACCGGCCAAUUCGAAGAGCCUCGUGAGCAAUCCCGUUGUGGGGGCUGCAGUAAUGGGGGACACAACACAAGAACUUGUCCCAAACCAAGAAAGAGAUCAAAGAAAAAUAGUGCAAGCACAAGCCAAACAAAUGAUAGCCAACCAAGUGAACCAAGGGGUAGCCAACCAAGUCAAACAAGUGGUGGAGUGCCAAACCACUCAAAUCAAACAAGCCAACGAGGAACUAGGCAACAAAGAGGGAGUCAUCUUGGUCUUAGAAGAGGCCGUGGUGGUGGUCUUGGCCGUGGUGAUGGUCUUGGCCGUGGUGGUGGUAGAGGCCGUGGUGAUGGUCUUGGCCGUGGUGAAGGUCUUGGCCGUGGUGAUGGUCUUGGCCGUGGUGGUGGUAGAGGUCGUGGUGAUGGUGUUGGUCGUGGUGAAGGUCUUGGCUGUGGUGGUGGUAGAGGUCGUGGUGGUGGUCUUGGCCGUGCUGCUGGUAGAGUCCGUGGUGGUGGUGGUGGUAUAGGUCGUGGUGCUGGCGGUAGAGGCCGCGGUGGUGGUGUAGGCCGUGGUGAUGGUGGAGGCAGUGGUGAUGGUGGAGGCAGUGGUGAUCUUGGCCUUGGCGGCGGCCGUAGUGAAGGAAUGUUCUCUUGGCUCAAUGGACCAUUGCCGUAUGGAAACAAUGAAGGGGGUGGAGGACACGGAGGGGGAAGGUGA